AAGUCGUAACAAGGUUUCCGUAGGUGAACCUGCGGAAGGAUCAUUAACACGUAUCCAAACGUUAAACAACCCCGUGAACAUACAACCUGCUCUGGUCGCCCGCUCGCAUGGACAAGCCCAGUAAAUCAAGCCCCGGAAAGUUUUUGAUUUGGGACCUUCAUAGAAGCGGUAGGUCAAGUGACACGGCGUCCCCAAGUGACCAGUGAAUGAAAGCGUCACUGGAGCGUCAAGGAUGACUCUUCAAGAUUGCUAGAGGUCGACCACCGACCGGCUAACGUGUAUACUGAGCUUAAAAUCGCUCCCUUCCGAACCCCACUUUAUUGCCUUGCCCAACUGUUAACAAUGGAUAUCUUGGUUCUC
rnacentral:misc_RNA from 1 species